CGAUAUUGGGUCUUGCCCCGUUGUCGAGUUGUCAAAUCGAGAUUUAUCUCUUGCUAUUAGCUACUGCAACCAACACACUCUAUCUAGAGAGUCGUUCGUGAUUUCCUUUUCGAAUAGGCGGCUAAGAGGUCUUGUUCGAGUGGGGGGUUAUUUGUGGGUAGAAAGAAGGCAGGGUAGUCUAGUCUAGUCUCGUUAGUAUACGUCUUAUCUAUUCUCCUCUCGAUAUCAGGUCUUGCCUCGUUGUCGAGUUGUCAAAUCGAGACUUAUCUCUUGCUAUUAGCUACUACAACCAACACACUCUAUCUAGUGAUUUCCUUCUCGAACAGGUGGCUAAGAGAUCUUGUUCGAGUGUGGGGGGUGUUGUCCGUGGGUAGAAGAAGGCAAGGUGGCUAAGAGGUCUUGCUCGAGUGUUGAAAGAACGAAACUCCUACUCUUUGCCGGGUAUAUGAUCAGCAAGUCCGACGAACCCGACCGCAAAGCCAUCAACUCUUCUGGGUUAGCUUUUUCUUUUUCUUUUCCACUCAGUGCAGGUGAUAGAAAAAGGAAGGAGGUCAGCUUAUUCUCCUUUGUGCAAUGGAAUCUACUUUUUUUUAUAUUUUUAUUCCAUUCUUUGAAA